rnacentral:rRNA from 1 species
GUUAUAUGGUCAAGUGAAGAAGCGCAUACGGUGGAUGCCUUGGCAGUCAGAGGCGAUGAAAGACGUGGUAGCCUGCGAAAAGCUUCGGGGAGUCGGCAAACAGACUUUGAUCCGGAGAUCUCUGAAUGGGGGAACCCACCUAGGAUAACCUAGGUAUCUUGUACUGAAUCCAUAGGUGCAAGAGGCGAACCAGGGGAACUGAAACAUCUAAGUACCCUGAGGAAAAGAAAUCAACCGAGAUUCCCUUAGUAGUGGCGAGCGAACGGGGAUUAGCCCUUAAGCUUCAUUGAUUUUAGCGGAACGCUCUGGAAAGUGCGGCCAUAGUGGGUGAUAGCCCCGUACGCGAAAGGAUCUUUGAAGUGAAAUCGAGUAGGACGGAGCACGAGAAACUUUGUCUGAACAUGGGGGGACCAUCCUCCAAGGCUAAAUACUACUGACUGACCGAUAGUGAACCAGUACCGUGAGGGAAAGGCGAAAAGAACCCCGGAGAGAGGAGUGAAAUAGAACCUGAAACCGUAUGCGUACAAGCAGUGGGAGCCUACUUGUUAGGUGACUGCGUACCUUUUGUAUAAUGGGUCAGCGACUUAUAUUCAGUGGCAAGCUUAACCGUAUAGGGUAGGCGUAGCGAAAGCGAGUCUUAAUAGGGCGUUUAGUCGCUGGGUAUAGACCCGAAACCGGGCGAUCUAUCCAUGAGCAGGUUGAAGGUUAGGUAACACUGACUGGAGGACCGAACCCACUCCCGUUGAAAAGGUAGGGGAUGACUUGUGGAUCGGAGUGAAAGGCUAAUCAAGCUCGGAGAUAGCUGGUUCUCCUCGAAAGCUAUUUAGGUAGCGCCUCAUGUAUCACUCUGGGGGGUAGAGCACUGUUUCGGCUAGGGGGUCAUCCCGACUUACCAAACCGAUGCAAACUCCGAAUACCCAGAAGUGCCGAGCAUGGGAGACACACGGCGGGUGCUAACGUCCGUCGUGAAAAGGGAAACAACCCAGACCGCCAGCUAAGGUCCCAAAGUUGUGGUUAAGUGGUAAACGAUGUGGGAAGGCUUAGACAGCUAGGAGGUUGGCUUAGAAGCAGCCACCCUUUAAAGAAAGCGUAAUAGCUCACUAGUCGAGUCGGCCUGCGCGGAAGAUGUAACGGGGCUCAAACCACACACCGAAGCUGCGGGUGUCACGUAAGUGACGCGGUAGAGGAGCGUUCUGUAAGCCUGUGAAGGUGAGUUGAGAAGCUUGCUGGAGGUAUCAGAAGUGCGAAUGCUGACAUGAGUAACGACAAUGGGUGUGAAAAACACCCACGCCGAAAGACCAAGGGUUCCUGCGCAACGUUAAUCGACGCAGGGUUAGUCGGUUCCUAAGGCGAGGCUGAAAAGCGUAGUCGAUGGGAAACAGGUUAAUAUUCCUGUACUUCUGGUUACUGCGAUGGAGGGACGGAGAAGGCUAGGCCAGCUUGGCGUUGGUUGUCCAAGUUUAAGGUGGUAGGCUGAAAUCUUAGGUAAAUCCGGGGUUUCAAGGCCGAGAGCUGAUGACGAGUCGUCUUUUAGAUGACGAAGUGGUUGAUGCCAUGCUUCCAAGAAAAGCUUCUAAGCUUCAGGUAACCAGGAACCGUACCCCAAACCGACACAGGUGGUCGGGUAGAGAAUACCAAGGCGCUUGAGAGAACUCGGGUGAAGGAACUAGGCAAAAUGGCACCGUAACUUCGGGAGAAGGUGCGCCGGCUAGGGUGAAGGAUUUACUCCGUAAGCUCUGGCUGGUCGAAGAUACCAGGCCGCUGCGACUGUUUAUUAAAAACACAGCACUCUGCAAACACGAAAGUGGACGUAUAGGGUGUGACGCCUGCCCGGUGCCGGAAGGUUAAUUGAUGGGGUUAGCGCAAGCGAAGCUCUUGAUCGAAGCCCCGGUAAACGGCGGCCGUAACUAUAACGGUCCUAAGGUAGCGAAAUUCCUUGUCGGGUAAGUUCCGACCUGCACGAAUGGCGUAACGAUGGCGGCGCUGUCUCCACCCGAGACUCAGUGAAAUUGAAAUCGCUGUGAAGAUGCAGUGUAUCCGCGGCUAGACGGAAAGACCCCGUGAACCUUUACUGUAGCUUUGCACUGGACUUUGAGCCUGCUUGUGUAGGAUAGGUGGGAGGCUUUGAAGCGUGGACGCCAGUUCGCGUGGAGCCAUCCUUGAAAUACCACCCUGGCAUGCUUGAGGUUCUAACUCUGGUCCGUAAUCCGGAUCGAGGACAGUGUAUGGUGGGCAGUUUGACUGGGGCGGUCUCCUCCUAAAGAGUAACGGAGGAGUACGAAGGUGCGCUCAGACCGGUCGGAAAUCGGUCGCAGAGUAUAAAGGCAAAAGCGCGCUUGACUGCGAGACAGACACGUCGAGCAGGUACGAAAGUAGGUCUUAGUGAUCCGGUGGUUCUGUAUGGAAGGGCCAUCGCUCAACGGAUAAAAGGUACUCCGGGGAUAACAGGCUGAUACCGCCCAAGAGUUCAUAUCGACGGCGGUGUUUGGCACCUCGAUGUCGGCUCAUCACAUCCUGGGGCUGAAGCCGGUCCCAAGGGUAUGGCUGUUCGCCAUUUAAAGUGGUACGCGAGCUGGGUUUAGAACGUCGUGAGACAGUUCGGUCCCUAUCUGCCGUGGACGUUUGAGAUUUGAGAGGGGCUGCUCCUAGUACGAGAGGACCGGAGUGGACGAACCUCUGGUGUUCCGGUUGUCACGCCAGUGGCAUUGCCGGGUAGCUAUGUUCGGAAAAGAUAACCGCUGAAAGCAUCUAAGCGGGAAACUUGCCUCAAGAUGAGAUCUCACUGGGAACUUGAUUCCCCUGAAGGGCCGUCGAAGACUACGACGUUGAUAGGCUGGGUGUGUAAGCGUUGUGAGGCGUUGAGCUAACCAGUACUAAUUGCCCGUGAGGCUUGACCAUAUAACACCCAAACA